rnacentral:rRNA from 1 species
AAAUUGAAGAGUUUGAUCAUGGCUCAGAUUGAACGCUGGCGGCAGGCCUAACACAUGCAAGUCGAACGGUAACAGGAAGCAGCUUGCUGCUUUGCUGACGAGUGGCGGACGGGUGAGUAAUGUCUGGGAAACUGCCUGGUGGAGGGGGAUAACUACUGG